rnacentral:rRNA from 1 species
GUAGAUCAGAAGCGAGAAUGUUGACAUGAGUAGCGAUAAAGAGGGUGAGAGACCCUCUCGCCGUAAGUCCAAGGGUUCCUGCUUAAAGCUAAUCUGAGCAGGGUAAGCCGGCCCCUAAGGCGAGGCCGAAAGGCGUAGUCGAUGGGAACCAGGUUAAUAUUCCUGGGCCAGGAGGAAGUGACGGAUCUCGAAGGUAGUUUGCCCUUAUCGGAUUGGGUGGGCUGCUCAGAGGUUCCAGGAAAUAGCCCUCCAUCAGACCGUACCCUAAACCGACACAGGUGGACUGGUAGAGUAUACCAAGGCGCUUGAGAGAACCACGUUAAAGGAACUCGGCAAAAUGCCUCCGUAAGUUCGCGAGAAGGAGGCCCCAUAUCUGGGCAACCAGGUGUGGGGGGCACAAACUAGGGGGUGGCGACUGUUUACUUAAAACACAGGGCUGUGCGAAGCCGUAAGGCGACGUAUACAGUCUGACGCCUGCCCGGUGCUGGAAGGUUAAAAGGAGGGGUGCAAGCUCUGAAUUGAAGCCCCAGUAAACGGCGGCCGUAACAAUAACGGUCCUAAGGUAGCGAAAUUCCUUGUCGGGUAAGUUCCGACCUGCACGAAUGGCGUAACGAUCUCCCCGCUGUCUCUAACGUGGACUCAGCGAAAUUGAACUGUGUGUCAAGAUGCACACUACCCGCGGUUAGACGGAGAGACCCCAUGCACCUUUACUCCAGCUUUGCACUGGUAUCAGGAUUGUGAUGUGCAGGAUAGGUGGUAGGCAUCGAAGCGGGGACGCCAGUUCUCGUGGAGCCUCCCUUGAGAUACCACCCUUCGCCAUCUUGAUAUCUAACCGCGGCCCGUUAUCCGGGUCCGGGACCCUGCAUGGUGGGGAGUUUGACUGGGGCGGUCGCCUCCCAAACAGUAACGGAGGCGCGCGAAGGUAGGCUCAGACCGGUCGGAAAUCGGUCGUUGAGUGCAAUGGCAGAAGCCUGCCUGACUGCAAGUCUGACAAGACGAGCAGAGACGAAAGUCGGUCAUAGUGAUCCGGUGGUCCCAAGUGGGAGGGCCAUCGCUCAACGGAUAAAAGGUACGCUGGGGAUAACAGGCUGAUGAUGCCCAAGAGUCCAUAUCGACGGCAUCGUUUGGCACCUCGAUGUCGGCUCAUCUCAUCCUGGGGCUGGAGCAGGUCCCAAGGGUAUGGCUGUUCGCCAUUUAAAGAGGUACGUGAGCUGGGUUUAGAACGUCGUGAGACAGUUCGGUCCCUAUCUGCCGUGGGUGUAGGAGACUUGAGAAGAGUUGCCCCUAGUACGAGAGGACCGGGGUGAACGAACCACUGGUGGACCAGUUGUCGUGCCAACGGCAGUGCUGGGUAGUUAUGUUCGGACAGGAUAACCGCUGAAGGCAUCUAAGCGGGAAGCCCCCUUCAAAACAAGGUCUCCCUUGAGAGCCGUGGAAGACCACCACGUCGAUAGGCCGGAGGUGUAAGUGCAGCAAUGCAUUCAGCUGACCGGUACUAAUUGCUCAC